AUCUUUUGCACUUUUUCCAUGAGCUUUCAAAAUAUUGAUGCUCUUGAUCGGGUAUUUGACUUCCCCUCGUACAUUGGUCAUCUUUACUGCUUGUACAGCAUCUACAACCAGAUUCGCAAAAAAAUCGCAGUCACCAGCUAUCAACUUCGAGGACAUGCUUGUCUUAGCACAAUUUACAAGAGAAUCUUUUCCAAGUUUUUCAACCUUCACAGCCAAUUUUUCAUCAAC
rnacentral:misc_RNA from 1 species